CCUACGGGAGGCAGCAGUGGGGAAUAUUGCGCAAUGGGCGAAAGCCUGACGCAGCGACGCCGCGUGAGGGAUGAAGGUCUUCGGAUCGUAAAACUCUGUCAGCAGGGAAGCACGGUCACUGUGCUAAUCAGCAGUGAAUUGACGGUACCUGCAAAGGAAGCACCGGCUAACGCCGUGCCAGCAGCCGAGGUAAUACGGAGGGUGCGUGAGUUAAUCGGAAUUACUGGGCGUAAAGCGCUCGUAGGCGGUAUGUCAAGUCAAGGGUGAAAUCCCCGCGCUCAACGUGGGAACUGCCUUUGAAACUGGCAAACUGGAGUGGGUGAGAGGAUAGUGGAAUUCCAGGUGUAGGAGUGAAAUCCGUAGAUAUCUGGAGGAACAUCAGUGGCGAAGGCGACUAUCUGGCACAUAACUGACGCUGAGGAGCGAAAGCGUGGGUAGCAAACAGGAUUAGAUACCCGAGUAGUC
rnacentral:rRNA from 1 species